CCGGCAAAAAAGCAUUCAUGCGGCCGGUAGAUCCAGGAACGGGCAGAAACCAUUCGAAAUGCUCGCGUGUGGGUGACACUUUGUGCUGAAGGACAUCUUUUGAUGUCCCUUCUGAAGGGUUCCUGCCAGCCUCUCUUCCGUGUUAGGACUGGUGCUUUUCGCGGUGACUUGCUAUUUUAGGGGAAUGCAGAUUAAAGCGUGCCGCGAACCCUGUAUAAAGUAAGGUGAUUUCUUUGGUUUCCCUCGUUCGAUGUCUCAGAGUCCCAGACGAGAAUAAGCCUGUCCGUAGGCAGAAACAUGCUCAUUAGCAGCCCAUAGACACACGGCUUUAAAUGUCAUUACGUACAUUUUUUUGGUUGAGUUAUACCAUCGACUCUACCAACGAGUAUAAAAACAUCUUUCGGCAUACUUGUCUCCUCUAAAUUCAUGCACGG
rnacentral:lncRNA from 1 species